CUUGCUGCACCUUGUUUACUUUUGUUACUUGUCACCCGUUAUGAAUUACCUUAUCACAAAACUAUUUGUUACUGAUAAUUUCAGUGCUUGCAGAGAAUGCCUUACUGAAAACCGCUUGUCAAUUCCUUCUGCUCCUCGUUGGGUUCGACACUCUUACUUAUCAAAAGGACUAUGAUAGAUCCCCUAUACUUGUGGGUCAUCAAGGCUCUUUUCUGGCGCCUUUGCCGGGGAGUGAAGCGCCUUUGCUAAGUGGAAAUUGGUAAGGAAAAAUUUAUAUAGUGUGCUGAAAUUUACUGCCACUUGUUACUAUGGAAAGUAAUCCUUUGAGGGGCUUGUUUGGGGUAUCGUCACCCCGACCAGUAGAGCAAAGAGUUUGUCCUCAACCUAAUGAAUCUACUGAAAAAAAUUUACUUUGACUUUGGGUAUGAUAGAGAAACUGCUAGCUAAUCCCUUUAGAGGAGAUGGAACAUUGCAUCCCGAUUUUCACCUAAUCUAUGUGGAUGAAGUUUGUGGAUUAUUUAAGCUUGCAGGUAUGCACGAGGAUGUUAUCAAUAAGAAGGUCUUCCCUUUAUCUUUGAAGGGAGAGGCAUUGACAUGGUUUAGGCUAUGUGAUGAUAUGGGAUCAUGGAACUACAACCGAUUGAAAUUGGAAUUUCAUCAGAAGUUUUAUCAUAUGCAUCAGGUUCAUCGUGAUCAUAAUUAUAUAUAUAAUUUUUGGCCUCGCGAAGGAGAAAGCAUCGCUCAAGCUUGGGGAGGCUUGAGUCAAUGUUAUAUUCAUGCCCUAAUCAUGAGCUCUCAAGAGAAAUUAUUAUUUAAAAUUUUUAUGCUCGGCUUUCUCUCAAUAAUCGCUCCAUGCUCGAUACUUCUUGUACUGGUUCUUUUAUGAUGAAGACUAUUGAAUUCAGAUGGGCUUUAUUGGAAAGAAUUAAACGCAACUCUGAAGAUUGGGAUCUCGGUGAAGGUAAGGAGUCAGGUAUGACACCUAAGUUUGAUUGUGUUAAAUCUUUUAUGGAUACUGAUGUUUUCCGUGAAUUUAGCACUAAAUAUGGACUUGACUCUGAGAUAGUAGCUUCUUUCUGUGAAUCAUUUGCUACUCGUGUCAAUCUCCCUAAGGAGAAGUGGUUUAAAUAUCAUCCUCCCAUUGAAGUAAAACUAGUUGAACCUAUUAAAGUUGAAGAAAAGACUAUCACUUAUAAUGUUGAUCCUAUUGUUCCUACCGCAUAUAUUGAGAAACCACCUUUAGCUGUUAGAAGAAAGGAUCAUGCUAAAGCUUCAACUAUGGUUCGUAAGAGUAAUAUUAGAACACAUACAACCCCUGAGCAAAUUAAAGUUGAACCUAGUAUUGCUAUGGUUAAAGAUCUCUUGGUCGAUAAUAUAUGAUGGGCAUGUUAUUUACUUCUGUGAUGAAGCUGCUAUAAUUGCUAGACUCGAUACUAAAAAUAAACAUAGACCUAUUGUAGGCAUGCCUGUUAUUUCUGUUAAAAUAGGAGAUCAUUGCUAUCAUGGCUUAUGUGAUAUGGGUGCUAGUGCGAGUGCAAUACCUCAUUCUUUAUACGAAGAAUUAUGCAUGAUAUUGCACUUGCUGAGUUAGAAGGCAUUGAUAUUACAAUUAAGCUUGCCAAUAGAGAUACUAUUUCACCAAUUGGGAUUGUUAGAGAUUUGAAGUCUUGUGUAGGAAAGUUAAAUAUCCUGUUGAUUUUCUUGUCUUGGUUCCCCACAAGAUGACUUUUGUCCCAUUAUAUUUGGUAGACCCUUCUCGAAUAUUGUUAAUGCUAGGAUAGAUUGCGAAAAGAUAUUGUUACGAUUGGGUUAGGGGAUAUGUCUCAUGACUUUAACUUUGCUAAAUUUUGUAGACAACCCCAUAAUAAAGAAUUGCCUAGUAAGGAUGAAAUUAUUGGUCUUGCUUCUAUUGCAGUGCCUCCUAAUGAUCCUUUAGAACAAUAUUUGCUAGACCAUGAAAAUGAUAUGUUUCUGAAUAAAAGAAGGAAAUAGAUGAAGUAUUCUUUAAAUAGGGACCCAUUUUGAAAUACAACUUGCCUGUUGAAAUCCUAGGGAUCCUCCACCACCCAAGGGUGAUCCCGUGUUUGAGCUUAAACCAUUACCUGAUACUCUUAAAUAUGCUUAUCUUGAUGAAAAGAAGAUAUAUCCUGUUAUUAUUAGUGCUAACCUUUCAGGGCAGGAAGAGGAGAAAUUAUUGAAAACUCUGAAGAAGCACCGUGCUGCUAUUGGAUAUACUCUUGAUGACCUUAAGGGCAUUAGUCCCACUCUAUGCCAACACAAGAUAAAAUUGGAGAAAGAUGCUAAACCGGUUGUUGAUCACCAACGAUGAUAAAUCUUCUGGAGGCAGGUAUAAUUUAUCCCGUUGCUGAUAGUUAGUGGGUAAGUCUUGUCCAUUGUGUCCCUAAGAAGGGAUGUAUUACUGUUGUUCCUAAUGAUAAAGAUGAAUUGAUCCCACAAAUAAUUCUUACAGGUUAUAGAUGGUAAUUGAUUUCCCCAAAUUAAAUAAAGCUACUAGAAAAGAUCAUUACACUUUACCUUUUAUUGAUCAAAUGCUAGAAAGAUUAUCUAAACAUACCCAUUUUUGCUUUCUAGAUGGUUAUUCUGGUCUCUCUCAAAUACCUGUGUCAAAAGAGGAUCGGGAUAAGACCACUUUUACUUUCCCUUUCGGUACCUUCUCUUAUAGACGUAUGCCUUUUGGUUUAUGUAAUGCACCUGCUACCUUUCAAAGAUGCAUGAUGGCUAUAUUCCCUGAUUUUUGUGAAAAGAUUGUUGAGGUUUUCAUGGAUGAUUUUUCCGUAUAUGGAACUUCUUUUGAUAAUUGCUUGAGCAACCUUGAUCGAGUUUUGCAGAGAUGCGAAGAAACUAAUCUUGUAUUGAAUUGGGAGAAGUGCCACUUUAUGGUUAAUGAAGGUAUUGUCUUGGGGCAUAAAAUUUCUGAAAGAGGUAUUGAGGUUGAUAAAGCUAAAGUCGACGCUAUUGAAAAGAUGCCGUGUUCUAAGGACAUCAAUGGUAUAAGAAGUUUCCUUGGUCAUGCCGGUUAUUAUAGCAGGUUCAUUAAAGACUUCUCUAAAAUUUCUAGGCUCUGACUAACCUCUUACAAAAAGAUAUUUCUUUUGUCUUGAUGAUGAUUGUGUAGAAGCAUUUGAAAUACUUAAGAAAGCUUUGAUUACUGCACCUAUUGUUCAGCCACCUGAUUGGAAUUUACCCUUUGAAAUUAUGUGUGAUGCUAGUGAUUAUGAUGUAGGUGUUGUUCUCGGACAAAGAGUUGAUAAGAAAUUAAAUGUUAUCCAAUAUGCUAGUAAAACUCUAGACAGUGCCUAGAGAAAUUAUGCUACUACUGAAAAAGAAUUUUUAGUAGUUGUAUUUGCUUGUGAUAAGUUCAGACCUUACAUUGUCGGCUCUAAAGUAACUGUUCACACUGAUCAUGCUGCUAUUAAAUAUCUUAUGGAAAAGAAAGAUGCUAAACCUAGACUUAUUAGAUGGGUUCUCUUACUACAAGAAUUUGAUUUGCAUAUUAUUGAUAGAAAGGGAGCUGAGAACCCCGUUGCAGAAAACUUGUCUAGGUUAGAAAAUGUUCUUGAUUACCCACUACCUAUUGAUGAUAGCUUUCCUGAUGAACAAUUAGCUGUCAUAAAUGCUUCUGGUACUGCUCCAUGGUAUGCUGAUUAUGCUAAUUACAUUGUUGACAAGUUUAUACCACCUAGUUUCACAUACCAGCAAAAGAAAAAGUUUUUCUAUGAUUUAAGACAUUACUUCUGGGAUGACCCACACCUUUAUAAAGAAGGAGUAGAUGGUGUUAUUAGACAUUGUGUACCUGAGCAUGAACAGGAACAGAUCCUACACAAGGUAUCACUCCGAGGCUUAUGGAAGACACCACGCUGGAGAUAGAACUGCACAUAAGGUAUUGCAAUCCGGUUUUUAUUGGCCUACUCCCUUCAAAGAUGCCCUUAAGUUUGUCUUGUCUUGCGAUGAAUGUCAAAGAAUUGGUAAUAUUAGUAGACGUCAAGAAAUGCCUAUGAAUUAUUCAAUUGUUAUUGAACCAUUUGAUGUAUGGGGCCUUGAUUAUGUGGGACCGUUUCCUUCCUCUAAUGGGUAUACACAUAUUUUAGUUGCUGUUGAUUACAUUACUAAGUGGGUAGAAGCUAUUCCAACUAGUAGUGCUGAUCAUAACACCUCUAUUAAGAUGCUCAAAGAAGUUAUGUUUCUGAGGUUUGGAGUCCCUAGAUACUUAAUGAGUGAUGGUGGUUCCCAUUUUAUUCAUGGUGCUUUUCCGUAAUAUGCUUGCUAAAUAUGAUGUUAAUCAUAGAAUUGCAUCUCCAUGUCACCCACAGUGUAGUGGCCAAGUAGAACUGAGUAAUAGAGAGCUCAAAUUAAUUUUGCAAAAGACUGUUAAUAGAUCUAGAAAGAAUUGGUCCAAGAAACUUGAUGAUGCAUUAUGGGCCUAUAGAACUGCAUGUAAAAAUCCUAUGGGUAUGUCUCCUUAUAAAAUGGUUUAUGCAAAAGCUUGUCACUUACCUCUCGAACUAGAACAUAAGGCGUAUUGGUCCAUUAAAGAGCUCAAUUAUGAUUUCAAACUUGCUGGUGAGAAGAGGCUAUUUGACAUUAGCUCACUUGAUGAAUGGAGAACUCAAGCCUAUGAGAAUGCCAAACUGUUGAAAGAAAAAGUCAAAAGAUGGCAUGACAAAAGGAUACAAAAGCUUGAGUUUAAUUUAGGUGAUUAUGUUUUGCUAUACAACUCUCGUUUAAGAUUUUUUGCAGGAAAACUUCUCUCUAAAUGGGAAGGCCCUUAUGUUAUCGAGGAGGUCUAUCAUUCUAGUGCCAUAAAAAUCAACAACUUCAAAGGCACAAAUCUGAAGGUGGUGAACGGUCAAAGGAUCAAACAUUAUAUCUCAAGUAAUCCCAUAAAUGUUGAAACCAAUUUUAUUGAAACAUAAGGGACACUUUCUAGAACAUUUCAGACUUCGAAAAGGAAUAGGUAUGUGGUACGCUAAGUAAACCGACUCCAAAACAGUUCUAAUAGCAAUUUUUCUCUAUUUUGGAAUAUUUAAGAAAAUAGGAAAAUAGGAAGUAGUCCGAAAAGGAGACGAGGCAUCCACGAGGGUGGAGGGCGCGCCCCCUGCCUCGUGGGCACAUCGUGUGCUCUCCGGACUCUGUUUUCUUGCAGGAUACUUCUUUUGGUCAGUAAAAAUUCAUUAUAUAAUCUCCCAAAGGUUUCGACCACCGUACCACGCAAAUAUCCUCUGUGUUUGUUUUGAGUUGUUUCUGUAGCAGAUUUGGAGCAAGAUGUCAUCUCAAGAUUCCGACGGAGAGAGCUAUGUCUCACAUCUCAUUGCUGGACCAAAGACCUAUGGGGAUCUAUCUCCUUGUGGUUGAACUACGGAUGAUGAGGAGGAUACACGUGAAGUUCAAGAAGUCUAGUCUCCCUAAGAGGGCUAAACGGUCUAACAACCGAUCUAUUCCUUCUCAUUUUCGGCAGAAAAGCAAAGGAGAUUUAUAUGACAAGAUCUUGAAGCUGGAAUCGGAGGUCGAUGAUUUAAAGGAGGAAAUUGCUCUCCUCAAUUACAAUAUGAAGAAGCCGAGGGUACAAUUUUCAUCGUCAUCACCAUCACCACCUCCGAAGAAAGAGACAUAAACACAUGGCCAUGGGCACUCCCCUUGGCAACUGCCAAGCUUGGGGGAGGUGCCCCGGUAUCGUAUCACCAUCACACUCCUAUCUUUAUCGUUUUUCUUAGUUCGAUCCUUUAGUAUGAUUUAGUUUUGAUUUUUGCUUUAUGAUCCUUCUAUGUAAUCGAGUCCAUGAGCUAUAUAUAUAAUAAAGUUUAGUGUUGAGUCAAGGGCUUGAUUAUCCUGUAAUGAUCUUGAGGGAAUUAAAGAAAAAAUAGAGAAUAAAAAGAAAUAAUGAGAUCAUAUUGAUCUUAUGGAGAGUAAUGACUUCACAUAUAAAGAGUGUGGUGAAUAAAAGUUGUUGUGAGUUGACAAACAUAGUUUUGGUCAUCGUUGCAAUUAAUAGGAAGUAAUAAAGAAAGAGAGGUUCUCACAUAUAAAUAUACUAUCUCAAACAUCUUUUAUGAUUGUGGGAACUCAUUAAAAUAUGACAUGCUUAAAAGUUGAUGUUGGACAAGGAAGACAAUGUAAUGGGUUAUGCUUUCUUAUAUCCGAAAUAAAGUAUAUUGUCAUGGAUCAUCCAACAUGUUGAGCUUGCCUUCCCCCCUCAUUCUAGACAAAUUCUUUGCACCAAGUAGAGAUACUACGUGUGCUUCCAAAUAUCCUUAAACCCAGUUUGCCAUGAGAGUCCGCCAUAUCUACCUAUGGAUUGAGUAAGAUCCUUCAAGUAAGUUGUCAUUGUUACAAGGAAUAAAAAUUGCUCUUUAAAUAUGUAUGAUUUAUUAGUGUGGAGAAAAUAAGCUUUAUACCAUGUUGUGAUAUGGAAGUAAUAAAAGCGAUGGACUGCAUAAUAAAGGUCCAUAUCACAAGUGGCAAUAUAAAGUGACGUUCUUUCGCAUUAAGAUUUUGUGCAUCCAACCAUAAAAAGCACAUGACAACCUCUGCUUACCUCUGCGAAGGGCCUAUCUUUUAUUUUUGUCUUAUGCCUUAUGCAAGAGUCAUGGUGAUCCUCACCUUUCCUUUUUACAAAUUAUCCUUUGGCAAGCAAAUUGUGUUGGAAAGAUCCUGAUAUAUAUAUCCAAUUGGAUGUAAGUUAUCAUAAACUAUUAUUAUUGACAUUACUAAAAGGUUAGGAGGCAACACUAUAAGCCCAUAUCUUUCUCUGUGUCCGAUUAAAACUCCAUACCCAUAAGUAUUGCAUGAGUGUUAGCAAUUGUGAAAGACUAAAUGAUAGUUGAGUAUGUGGACUUGCUGAAAAGCUCUUAUACUGACUCUUUCCGAUGUUAUGAUAAAUUGCAAUUGCUUCAAUGACCGAGAUUAUAGUUUGUUAGUUUUUAAUGAAGUGUCUGAUUCAUACUUGACACUGUGAAUAGAUUGGUACUUUAACAUAAGAAAUCAUAUGACAAUAUAUAUUUAUAUAUGUUUUUGUUUCAAGCAAGAUCAUGAUUCCCUCAUGUACGUAUUUUAUUUUAUCGACACCUCCAUCUCUAAAACAUGUGGACAUAUUUUUCGAUUUGGGCUUCCGCUUGAGGACAAGCUAGGUCUAAGCUUGGGGCAGUUGAUACGUCCAUUUUGCAUCAUGCUUAGAUAUUUAUAUUUUUUGCAUUAUAGGCUGUUAUUACACGUUAUGUCACAGUACUUAUGUCUUUUCUCUCUUAUUUUACAAGGUUUACAUGAACAGGAAGAAUGCCGACAGCUGGAAUUCUCGGGUGGAAAAGGAGCAAAUAUUAGAGACCUAUUCUGCACAACUCCAAAGUCCUGAAACUUCACGGAGGCACGUUUUGGAAAUAAUAAAAAAUACAGGCGAAAGAAUCAACCAGAGGGGGCCCACACCCUGGCCAUGAGGGUGGGGGCGCGCCCUACCCCCCUGGGCGUGCCCCCCUGUCUUGUGGGCCCCCCGGCAGGCCUCCGGUGCCCAUCUUUUAAUAUAUGAAGUCUUUCACCCUCGAAAAAAUCGGAAGUAGGCUUUCAGGAUGAAGCGUCGCCUUCUCGAGGCGGAACCUUGGCGAAACCAAUCUAGGGCUCCGGAGGAGCUGUUCUGCCGGGGAAACAUCCCUCCGGGAGGGGGAAAUCAUCACCAUCGUCAUCACCAUCGAUCCUCUCAUCGGGAGGGGGUCAGUCUCCAUCAACAUCUUCACCAGCACCAUCUCCUCUCAAACCCUAGUUUAUCUCUUGUAUCCGAUCUUUGUCUCAAAACCUCAGAUUGGUACAUGUGGGUUGCUAGUAGUGUUGAUUACUCCAUGUAGUUGAUGCUAGUUGGUUUAUUCGGUGGAGGAUUAUAUGUUUAGAUCCUUAAUGCAUAUUAAUACCCCUCUGAUUAUGAUAAUGAAUAUGAUUUGUGAGUAGUUACGUUUGUUCCCGAGGACAUGGGAGAAGUCUUGCUAUAAGUAGUCAUGUGAAUUUGGUAUUCGUUCGGUAUUUUGAUGAGGGUUAUGUUGUAUCUCCUCUAGUGGUGUUAUGUGAACAUCGACUACAUGACACUUCACCAUUGUUUGGGCCUAGAGGAUGGCAUUGGGAAGGAAUAACUAGAUGAUGGGUUGCUAGAGUGACAUAAGCUUAAACCCUAGUUUAUGCGUUGCUUCGUAAGGGGCUGAUUUGGAUCCAUAUGUUUCAUGUUGUGGUUAGGUUUAUCUUAAUUCUUCUUUUGUAGUUGCGGAUGCUUGUGAGAGGUGUUAAUCAUAAGUGGGAUGCUUGUCCAAGGAAGGGUAGUAUCCAAGCACCGGUCCACCCACAUAUCAAAUUAUCAAAGUAACGAACGCGAAUCAUAUGAGCAUGAUGAAAACUAGCUUGACAAUAAUUCCCAUGUGUCCUCGGGAGUGUUUUCCUUUAUAUAAGAGUUUGUCCAGUCUUGUCCUUUGCUACAAAAAGGAUUGGGCCCCCUUGCUGCACCUUGUUUACUUCUGUUACUUGUCACCCGUUACGAAUUACCUUAUCACAAAACUAUCUGUUACCGAUAAUUUAAGUGCUUGCAGAGAAUACCUUACUGAAAACCGCUUGUCAUUUUCUUCUACUCCUCGUUGGGUUAGACACUCUUACUUAUGGAAAGGACUACGAUAGAUCCCCUAUACUUGUGGGUCAUCAGGCCCCGCCGCGGCCAACGAUAGGCUAAGUUAGAAUAGCCCAGUCCCCUAUAGUUUAGUAGAAGUAUGUAUGAAAUGUAAUUGUUUUGUCCGGUUUAUAUGAAAUGUGUUUGAAAUGUAAUUCUUCUCAUCCGGUUUGCAUGUAAUGUGUCCAGUUUCUUCAAAUUCUGUGGUCUGGCCCCCAAUGGUCCGCGAACGGAUAUGGUGUCUGAUUUGGGGGUCAAUGUUGGGGAUGCCCUUAUCUUUUCUUUAUGGAAUACGAAAACCUCAAAAAAAA
rnacentral:lncRNA from 1 species